AAGAUUCUUACAUGUUUCCCAGAAGCCAAAAUAAGUUAAAUUUACCCUAAUCUUCAAAUUCAAAAAGUUUUCACUCCGUCUGCAUGGUUUUAUCUCCUGGAGCAUCAGUGAGCAUUUGAACCUUCUAUGAUAGUCGCAUAUGAACUACUCAGUUGUCCUCAGUGUGAAAAGAUGAAUUUCAAAAUCAUACAGUCACUGCUGGAAAAGAACCAAAGAAUUAGUGGGAGUUGAAGGAUUUUUCUGAAGAACACAGGCAGUUUAACUGUUCAGAAAGAACAAGGGACUCAUGAACAACUAUCACUAAAAAAAAAAAAAAAAAAAAAAACACAGCUGUGGAUCAUUAGGGUAACAACACAGUGUUAAGAAUCAAGUGGAUGUUAACUUUUGAAUGGGGUCAUUUUUAUAAAUUCAGCUAUUAUUUUCUCUUGUGGGCUAUAUGUAAACAUCUUUUAUGUGAAAUAUCUUAUUCAGGUCAUUGCUAAAUAAACAAAAACAUAUAAAUAUUUGUACGAUCGCUCUUAUUUUGGUAAAAUAAUUACCAUUUUGCAGAUUCUGAAAACUUUUGACCUCAGCUGUAUGUUUGUGAUCAGUGUAAGGGUUUGUUCAGCAGGGGGCAGUGGCGGCUGAUAAACGGGACUCUUCUGCCUGAGUUUUUGCUUCUCUCUCUGUUUUGUUUUGUGUUUCAGUUCUUAGCAACCCUGAGAGAAAUACACUGAUGCUAUGAGCGCUCCACUAACAGAGAUUAAACAUCUGGCGGGUGGAACGUUGCAGAUUUCUGAUUAUUUGGCGACGGGCCGCGAGAUGCCAAGAGACACGGCCAAGAGCCUCCGACAGAUGUCCCACAAAUGCCACUUAAUACUGAACCAAGACACCACUCAGAAGCCUUUAAUCCACAUCUGUGGCCAUUUAAUAUGGUGAGAAAUGACGAGUAAAGUUACCGGCUUUACCUGAACUUUAGCUGUAAAGAACAUAUGUGAACCUUUCACUGCUGGUUUGAACAACAUUUCGAGUCUUUGUUUACAUACAGUACAUGAAAUGAAGCUCAAGAUAGAAACAAAUUCCAUCCAGAUCAGCGUCCAUCGGGGGAUUUGAUCUAUAAAUAACUCGGUUGUUUAUGUCAAAGCAUCUCCUUGUGUGCU
ensembl:lncRNA